rnacentral:rRNA from 2 species
UUAAUUGAAGAGUUUGAUCAUGGCUCAGAUUGAACGCUGGCGGCAGGCCUAACACAUGCAAGUCGAGCGGCAGCACAGAGGAACUUGUUCCUUGGGUGGCGAGCGGCGGACGGGUGAGUAA